UACGAAGGGGGCUAGCGUUGCUCGGAAUCACUGGGCGUAAAGCGCACGUAGGCGGAUUCUUAAGUCAGGGGUGAAAUCCUGGAGCUCAACUCCAGAACUGCCUUUGAUACUGGGAGUCUCGAGUCCGGGAGAGGUGAGUGGAAUUCCUGGUGUAGCGGUGGAAUGCGCAGAUAUCAGGAGGAACACCAAUAGCGAAGGCAGCUCGCUGGGACGUUACUGACACUGAGGCGCGAAAGCGUGGGGAGCGAACAGG
rnacentral:rRNA from 1 species